UUCAGAUGUGAUAAAAAAAGCUUUUGUACGGUUUCUACAUCAUGUCAUUCUCUCUACUAUUUUCUCAAUUUAUAAUUCCGAUCAGAUCGUCGACGAUAUAGAUGACGCCACCCUUGUGAUCCAUGUGGAAGUCAAGACCAAGAAGAGUUCGAGAAGUUCGCGACGCUCCCGACCAAUCUUCCACUGAUAACUAGAAGUUCAAGCGAGUUCUGACCAUCAUCAGAGAUGGCUUAGAGAAUCAGAUGGACUCCAAGAGUUUGCUGCAAGAGAAGAUAAAUAUGCAAGUCAAAUUUGCAAUCAAGAACUAUGUCACCGAACUGAUUGGAAAUACCCCGUUGGUAUAUCUCAACAAUAUUUGUUGUGGAUGGUUGCGUAGCACGAAUUGCUGCCAAGCUAAAGUCACUGGAACUCUGCGCUAGUGUAAAAGGCAGACAUAUUCUUUGCACUUUUCCCUAAGGGAUAUUGAUUUUGUUGUCCUAAUACGAAAGAAAUCAAUACUCAAGGUUAAUUCACAUUUGAUCUUGAAUUUGUAAAUGCAGGAGUGCAUAUUGUAUGAUCAAGGUUUUUAAUUUUCAGAAAUAAUCAGUUUUAGUUUAAGAUAUAGUGAUAA